rnacentral:rRNA from 1 species
CAGCAUACUGCCGUGAAUACGUUCCCGGGCCUUGUACACACCGCCCGUCACACCAUGAGAGUUGGGGAUACCCGAAGCCUGUGAGCCAACUGUAAAGAGGCAGCAGUCGAAGGUAGAGCCAAUGAUUGGGGUGAAGUCGUAACAAGGUACC